GGCCUGAUGGUCUAGUGGUAUGAUUCGUGCUUCGGGUUCUUCCCAUUACUUGAUGAAACAAGUUACCAGUAUGUGCGAGGUCCCGGGUUCAAAUCCCGGUUAGGCCC